UUUACUUUGAAAAAGCCUCUGUUCCUCUCACACUUACUUAAAGUUUCAAGCUACUGCUUCUGGAUUGACUUGCUUCUCUGCUCUCCUACUGAAUUAUCUCUCAUACUUUUUACAGGGUAGGUCUAGGUUUUCUGUUCAUUUCUGUGGGAAAUUACUUGUCCGUACUGUAAGAAGACACAUCUUUGGUAGUCAUUUAGCCAUGUUACUGUACCAGUUCAUUUAAUUUCUCUGUUCCUCUUUUUAGAUCUGAAGAUCCCUGGAAAACCUAUAUUGUUUUACACCUAUAAUUCAGUGGUGGUGACCUCUGCUGCUUGUGAUGGAUGCUGGCCAAAAGUGAAGACAUUCCAUAGUUGGAGAUCUGAUCACCAGCUCUUCUAGUGACAGAUUGGAGCUGACAGCACUGCGAUCAGCAAUGCCACAAAGCAGUUAAUGAUGAUCAGGCUGCUCUGCCCUCCAGACUCACCAGACAGGGAAGUUGUGAAGAAGAGAAGUGAAGAUUGCUCUGUUGUGCUGCAUACUAAAUCAGGAAGUAUUUGCUACUGAUGGUGAGUGAAUAAUCUACUUCAAAAUUUUUUUUUUUUUUUUUUUUUUUUUUUGGUCACCUAAUUUCAAAUGCCAAUAGGUAGAGCUAUAAUGCCCCUGAGACAUUUCCAGGAAGACUAACAUUGUACCUGUUACAAUAGAUUGUUUAUUUAUAGAAAAUCAAAAAUAAACAGUGUUCAGUGUACA
rnacentral:lncRNA from 1 species